AUGUACAUUCCUACAACAUAUCGUUAAUGCAAUAGAUCCCAUUAGAACUCCACAGUUAAGCACACUCAGGAUAGAGUAGUACUGGGAUGGGUGACCUCCUGAGAAGUCCUAGUGUUUUACAUG
rnacentral:rRNA from 1 species